CCUACGGGUGGCAGCAGUAGGGAAUAUUCGUCAAUGGGCGCAAGCCUGAACGAGCGAUGCCGCGUGAGUGAAGAAGGCCUUCGGGACGUAAAGCCCUGUUGCGGGGGAAAAAAAGCAGCAUCAGUAAAUGGAUGCUGACUGAUGGUGCGACGCCAGAAAGUCACGGCGAACUACGUGCCAGGAGCUGCGGCAAUACGGAGGUGGCGAGCGUUGUCCGGAAUGAUUGGGCGGGAAGGGUGCGCAGGCGGUCCUGAAAUGCUGGAGGUAAACGCAUGAGCUCAAAUCAUGCAUGGCUGUGGAAACUGGAGGGCUGGAGUGCAGGAGAGGUAGGUGGAACUCCAUGUGUAGCGGUGAAAUGCGUAGAUAUAUGGAAGAACACC
rnacentral:rRNA from 1 species